GAGAAAAUAUUGGCUGGUUUUACACUCCAUGUCAGCGAGAUGGAAGACCAUUCAGAAUUCUGACACGUGGCUCCAUGUGUAAAUAGCGUCAGAGGUCCAAAAUUCGCUCGGCUCGGUGCGUUCCUCUGCUCAAGAGGACGCACGGAGAAAAGACAGAAUAGUAAAAGUGCACACCCGCUCAAGAAAAACCUCUCUCCUUUUUUCAAUUUCCAAGGGCUCUCUCUCUCCUCACGUUCUUUCCUUCGCACUCCCGCUCAAGAAAAACCUCUCUCCUCUUUUCAAUUUUCAAGGGCUCUCUCUCCCCUCACGUUCUUUCCUUCGUCUUCCUCCCUCAUCAGCGACGACCCAAGCGAAAAGCUUGCUCAGAAUCAGCAGCAACGGUCUCCGGCCAUCAAGGAACGCGAUGGUGACCCUAAGCGGAAGCACGGGGUGCAAUUCUACUUGGCGGAGAUCUCCCUCCGCGGAUUCCUUCCUUCCUCAUCGGCAACGACUCAAGCGAGAAGCUCGCUCAGAGUAAGCAGAAUCAGCAGCAAUAGACCUUGUCCAUCAAGCAACACGAUGGCGACCCUGAACGGAAGCACGAGGUGCGAUUUGACCUGGUGGAGAUCUCCCUCCGAGGACCGCGACCCCUUCUUCUUGCCCGUCGGUCUGUCUUGACUGAGAUCUCCCUCCGGGGACUGCGACCCCGUCUUCCUGCUCGCCGAUCUAUUUAUGUUCCGCAAGGGGUUAAUAGAUGGUGGUCUUUUUUUGCCAUUUUAGUUGCAGCUGACCAUCUCUCUCUGUGCGUAUCUGGGCAGGCCACACUCUCCACCAUCUUUGCCCAUCUCCCCUCCCCUCCCGCCUUCCUCCAUACUUUCAUAACUUCCUCCCCCUUUCCUGCUUGACCCUUUUCCUCUCUCUCUCUCGAAGUGAGCUUGGGACGCAUAACAAUGGAAGCUGCUGACAAGGCCGUGGAAAAAGCAAAAGCCGAUUCCGACUCGCAUGAACUAAACCCCAUCUUGCGGAGGAUGAUGUGAGAGAUAUUAGAUGCCAUGCCGAUCGAGGAGGUCGCUGGUGACAGCAUUCAUGAAGGGUUUGCUUGUUGCUCGUGGGGGUAUGCAGACACGCCCCCGAGAUAUGGGAAAUCGUCGGCCUAGACUUCCUUCUGUUUCAUGGAGCACCAUUUGGCUCUCUGCAUUGUUCUUUUCCCGUCUGUAACCGAGGUCUAAAAUUGAUCAUGGGGAUCUCGAUGAAAAAAUAAAAUGAGGGAUUGUUAAGUCCCUUGGAUCUGGAAGGGAAAGCAUGUAGCUAAGUCCCUAAGUUUGAAGAAAUGUGCUAUUUUCUG
rnacentral:lncRNA from 1 species